AACAAGCCGAUGGGGUGUGAUUUUUGCUUGUCAUAGUUACUCUGAUU
rnacentral:snoRNA from 1 species